UCUAUGCAGAAUUCCACAGGCAUAGUAGACCAUGCCUGUAAUCCCAGCACUGGGGAGGCUGAGGCAGGAGGAU
rnacentral:miRNA from 1 species